AAAGCGGCCGCCACUCCUCCACGCUGCAACGAACAUAAAAGAGCCGCGUCGUCGCUUCCCUUCCAGCCUUCCAGGCUUCCACACGCAUCUCAUCUUCUUCCCCGACCUCGCCGCCUCCGCCGUUGACCCCGGCGGCCGACGCCGGCGAGGCAGCACCUCGCCGGACGCCCACCCCUGCUCCUUGAUCUGCCUAUUCCCCCUCCAGCAAUUCCUGUAGCCGCCUCCGGCCGCCCUCCCGCGGAACCCUAGAUCUCCGAUACCCCGCGCGCCCUCCCGCCGACGGCCACCCGAUCGGAAUGGGCCGCCAUCUCCAGUAAGGUCCAGCGACCCAGGAGUACCCGCCUCCGCCUUCGCGCGUGCGCGAGGCGCCGCCGCGAUGGCGAUCCGCAUCACCGUGUCCUACUCGGGCUACGUGGCGCAGAACCUGGCCGCGUCCUUCGGCCUGCGCUGCACCAGCGCCGCCGCUGCCGGCGCUGGCGCGGCGCCCGGCCCGGGGUGCCGCUUCCUCCAGGACGCGCUAUCCCGCCCCUUCUGCCUCUUCGCAACCUCCCGCCGCGCCGACUCCCACCAUGACGCCGAGGAUCACAAGAUUCACAACCACCCGAAGCCCAGGCCCAGGGCUCUGCCUCCGGCCGCCUCCGCGGGAGGCGGCCACUCGCUGUUGCUGCCGCGGUCGUCCUCCACCAAACCGCCGGUGGAUGACCCGCCAACGUCGCUGGCCGUGGGCCUGCUGUCAGUGUUCGCGUCCGAGAUGGGUUCGACUGGUGGCAUUGCGGGGGCCUCCUCCCUCGCGGCGUCCCCGUCAAUAUCAGCCGGAUUCAACCCUGCGGCGCUGCUCCCGUUCCUGCAGGCGACCAAGUGGCUCCCCUGCAGUGACAUCGUCACCGCUGCCACGGCGUCCCGCGGCUCAAGACGCCCAGCAGGUGCCUCGACGGCGCCUGCACCGCGAGCAACAGGUGCCUCGAUAGCGCCUGCACCGCCUGCAGCUGCACCAUCACCCCGUCCUGCUCCACGCAGAGCUGUCCCAUCGCCUGGUCCUUCACCUGUGCCGUCACCUGCUGUGGCUGCUCCGUCCAAGGUGGGCAUUCAAGCUUUGGUUGGAAGUGCCAGCAUUGCCUCAGGUUCAGCUGGAAUUGGUAGUGGCGCGAUUGCCUCGGGUGCAGCUGGGAUGGUGAGGAAGAGUGGUGCUAGUCUUGCUGCCGGUGCAAGGGUAAGCAGGAAGGCUGGUUGGCUCUCGAGGUGGGUGAGCUCAUGCUCGGAUGAUGCGAAGACUGUCUUUGCUGCUGUGACUGUGCCGUUGCUCUAUAGAUCAUCCCUAGCUGAGCCAAGGUCCAUCCCAUCCAAAUCAAUGUACCCAACAUUUGAUGUUGGUGACCGAAUCCUUGCUGAGAAGAUUUCUUACAUUUUCCGGGAGCCAGAAGUUUUGGACAUUGUUAUCUUUCGUGCACCUCCAGUCCUUCAGGCAUUGGGCUACAGCUCCAAUGAUGUGUUCAUCAAGAGAGUUGUGGCGAAGGGUGGGGACAUCGUUGAAGUAAGCUUUUAUCCCAAUGGUACGUGAUGGUAACUUGUUGGUUAAUGGAGUAAUCCAGGAUGAAGAAUUUGUGCUGGAGCCGGCUGACUAUGAAAUGGAUCCACUGACUGUCCCUGAAGGCUUUGUAUUUGUACUAGGGGACAACAGAAACAACAGCUUUGAUUCACAUAACUGGGGACCGCUUCCAGUGAAUAGCAUUCUAGGGAGAUCUGUGCUUCGAUACUGGCCACCGUCGAAAAUAACAGAUACAAUAUAUGAGCAUGAUAUGGCGCAAUUCACAGUCGCCACAUCCUGAGAUAUGCAUUGUGGCUGUACCACAUUGAAAAUGCAGUCCCAUUUUUCCUUUUCUUUUUCCGGCCGAGCUUUACUGACAAGUGUAAAGCUGAGCCGCAGUUUUUGCAUUCUUAUUUAUUGGAUGUCGCCUUGCCUCAGAUGCCCAUUGGCAGCUUGGCUGACAGAUUAGUUUUUCCCUCUCUACUGUCAGAUGCACUUUCGAAGGCAACAAUUCCUGUACUAUGUAGCCUAAGAAGGGAAACCCUGUAUGUUUCUGGAGGCAGAUGAAUGAGCUUCAUGGCUGGCAGUAGGCUUAGCAUCACAUGGCAAGUUCUGUUAUGUUUUUGAGACAUGGAGAUGAUGUUUGAAACUUGUGUAAAGGAAAUAGAAGCAUAAAAGAUUGGUCGGUCUGCGUUAUGUGGCUCUCUUCAUUUGUGUAUUGGCCAGCAUGGUGCGACUGCCGAGAGAGAAACCGUAUGGUUGGACUGAAUUGAUGCAUUCACCCAGACAAAAAAUUGUGUGAUGUAAAAUUUUUAGAUUUAAUUUUUAUGCGUUACUAGCCCUAUUAUCUUGGGGUGUUCGUGUAACUUGAGUGAGAUGAACCAAUGUACUGUUAUAUUUUUUUAACUAUCUUACCUGGUACGUUCACCUGUUUGGGAACA